ACUGAGGCUUAAGCAACUUUGGAACCAGGAUUUAAAACCAAGCAGCAUAGUUCCACAGCCCACAAUGGAAACCUGUGUACUCUACUUCCAAAACAAUGAAAGAACACUGUUCAUCACUUUUAUUGCAGUCAUCCAAAGUGGCUGCUUCUUUCAGGUCAUCAAGUCCUAGAAAUUCUACUUCUGAAAUAGUGAAACCUUGCCGUCUCUUUCAAGCCGUUCCUGACCAACUCAGGCAGAAUCCAGUUCUCCCGUGGCAUUUGGUUCAUGCGAAUAGCACAACAGGCAGGCACACAAGUGGCUGGACGUCGAAAGGAACACGUCGGCAGAAGAAGACACAAAUGACUGGACGUUGAGAGGACGUCAAGGGGAGCAUGCCAGUGGAAGAGCACAAGACAGAUGCUGGCACGCCAGCAGGCCAUCAACUGGCGGAAUGACAUGGAGUUUGGUCAGGGUGGUUGGAGGAGAGCCCAGGCCACUGAGCAGCUUGACUCCAGGGGAAAACUUUCUCCCUUCUGGCUCCCCUAUCUGC